GGCUGGAAUUAUAUGCCACCAUGUCUUUUAUAUAUCAGAACAGAGCUGUGAAACAAAAAGCCUGGAGCGAGAUUCACGAGAUUUGCAACACUUGGACACAGGCCACGACAGGCACCACAGCUCCGAACAGCAGCAUAGACAAUAGAGGUGGAAAACUUCGUCCACACGUGCUCAGUGUCACAACUUCCCUCGGUACCUGUUUAAAGCACUCCCGGAAUUGGGAGUUAAAGACCUCCCUGAUGGAGGGCUCAGCCAGACGUUUCCAGUACCCCUCCAGAGAGACACCAAGAAGCCAGGCUACUUCAAACUGCUGGUUGGCGCAUAGAUUGAAACCACAGUCCACCUGUCCCCCACCCAAAGGCAAAGGGACAUGACCCUCUCAUCCACCAGUGUGAACUCCUACACUUGGCGGCUGAGCUGGGGGCUCAUGAGUAAGCCCACACCAGCCCGCCACCUUUCACUAUGCACAGUUCCAGAAUGUUAGACAUUCAAACCCUUCUCAAAGGAUUGAGUUUCAGAGCCCAGGCUGUGCGUGGAGGUGAGCCCAACUGUGUCUAGGCAGUACCUCUCAACCUACCGCACAAGCUCAGGCUCCUUCCCUCCCAGAGAGGUGACAUCAAUGUCCCAAAAGCCAAGUUCCAUGACCAGGGUUUUUGGCCGCUGAGGCACCCGCCUUCGACUACCACCCAAACCACAUUGCACUGGCACCUUUUGAGCUACUGGAGAGUGUUCCUACGUCGUUCUUUUGGGCUGGACCUGCUCUACAUUAUUACUCAUAACAAAGUUCCACAAAAUUUGAUAAAUUCCAAAGAACUGAACUUUGUUUAAUUUGCUGCAUUAUGAGGUCAUUUUUAAAGGCUAAAACUCAGAGGCAGAAAAGCCAGAUCAAGAAACACCAGGGGGACAGACCAACUCUUAACCAGGGACAGAAAAAGGAACUGUGAAAUGCUGGAUUGUAAGCUAAGGUACAACAAACUGGCAAAGACUGUGAGGAACUGUCAGUUCUAAAUACCGUGGCUCACAGGUAAUGUUCUCCCCUUUAUUAUGUCCCGAGUAAUAAUUUGAAUAAGUUGAAGACGCUGUUAAGACAAGAUGUUGUUACAGGAAGUCGCCCAUCUUGUAUUUUCCUCUCAGCAAGCACACAGACUUAAGUUCAUCCUCUGACAUCUACUUCUGUGUUCAGGCUUUUGACAUCAUCGUCUGCAAGUUGCUUUAUUUUUACUAGAUGUACAAUAUUGAGUGUUUAUUUUUGUAAAAACGUUGGUGGCAAAUAUAUAUUUGUUGACUACUAGAUGUUUGAACGAUGGUGGAUUAAGCUAAUUUUAUUCAUAUUGGACUUUUCUAAGGACAGGUUUAUUUUCUGUUUUACAGUUUUUUCUCUUUUUUGGAGACAUUGUUGGAGCAACAAAUUUGGAUCUAUGGACAUCCUGACUUUGCUCAUGUUUCUGAAAGGAGUUAUUCUUACUGCUGAAUUGCGUUACUCGCAGGCAGAGCAGGACAGUGAUUAGGCUCACCAGAAGGGGACUGGGAGACUGGAGAAAAACUCACCACAGAUCAUGACACACACCCUCAUAGAUAUUUUGUUUGAGGAUGCUCCAAAGGUUCUCAAUAGGGUUGAGGUCAAGAGAGGAUGGGGGGCAUACCAUCAGUUUAUCUACUUUAAUGCCCAUAGCAGACAAUGAUGCAGAGGUAUUCCUGACAUGAGAUGUUACAUUGUUAUGCAUGAAGAUGAUUUAGUUACGGAAAGCACAGUUCUUUUUCAGUCAGAAACUCCACAUACUUUCUGUAGUAAAUUCUUACACCUUCAGGGACCCCGAAGGGGUCGACCAGCUAUCUCUUCAUGAUUCCGGCCCAAAAACAUGAGUCUGACACCUGCUUGCUGAUGUUGCAGCCUUGUUGGGACAUGGUGGCUGUUGCACGCAAAGAUUUUUCGCUGUUUUCUUUCUUUUUCCCUAUGCAUAUGAUCCUUGAGCUGAGUGGGCGGAGUGUACUUACCUGGUGGAGACCUGACGAACUGUCCAACCACACACCAGAGCCUGGCACCAGGAUUGCAAAUAAGCUCCUUAAGAUGGAUGGGAAUGGGGGGCUCAUUCUUGCUUCACUACUCUCCUGUGAAUGCUUGUGUGCAGCUCAGUCCCCCUUUGUGCUGGAGUGUGUUGAAGGUUUGUGGACAGGUAAGACACCUCACGUAGCCUCUCGUAGCCUAUCUUCUGUUAUCCACAGUAGGCAAGUUGGUUGGCGCCACCUCUUGUAUAAUUUGAUUCCAUUUUUGUAGAAGUCAGAAUUGUAUCUUUUUGACACCUAAAUGCAAUUUGUUUAAAACAUUUGAAUUUAUUAUGCAAUGUAUAUCCUCCUUAAUGAGAAAAAUGCUACAAAAACAUGUUAAAAAACAAACACAAUUUUCAUGGGAGUUGGUCUUUCUUUAGGUAUUUCGAUUCAUUCAGUAACCAAGUAUUAAAUAGUUUGGCUUGGUGACACAUGAAGAAGCAAACCACAGUGUUUAACCACAUGAUAAAUAUCUUAGUAAAACUGGUAUUUAAGUAAGAAAGUUUUUUUAUUAGGUAAUGUUUAAAAACAAACUGAACUGAACUGAACUGAACUUGUGCCUGAAGCCUAUCGCCAAAUGUUCAGACAGCGGAUAAAAAGUCCGUCACAAACUCAUGAGGAGUUUUUUCGUGAAAAGAGCAUUCUCUUUGAUAAAUGGUGCACAGCAUCAAAAGCUGAUGAUUUUGUUUCUCUUCGGGAACUUAUGUUAUUGGAAGAGUUCAAAAAAAGUUUGCCGGAGAGUCUUGUUGUCUGAAUGAGCAGAAAGUUAACUCUGUGACAACGGCAGUGGUGCUCGCUGAUGAGUAUGUGUUAACUCACAAAACAUCCUUCCCUGUGCCAAACAACCACCUGCUGUACCUCAGCCAACUCACAAUAAACCAUGUGCAUCCAGAGAAACAAGCAAGUGUUUUUAUUGUCAGAAAACUGGACAUUUCAUUGCUGACUGCGUUCUCCACCAAACUAAAUCUGAAAACGCCCAACAGAGUCCUUCUAGUCCAAAAGGGAUGGGAGUCAUCUUAAAUUCAGGUAAAGGUAAGAAACAUCCAGCCUCCUGCUUUAAACCUUUUAUAUUUGAAGGUCUUAUCUCGCUCAGCGGCAAGUGCUCAGUGCGCAUUUUGAGGGACACAGGUGGUUCCCAGACCGUUAUUUUGGCAAAUGCACUGCCGUUUCCAGUUUCAUCCUCCUGUGGAUAUACCUGAAUACUUUGUGGUAUUGGCAUGGAGUAUUCUCCACGCCCUGUUCAUCUCGUAUACCUAAAAUCUGAGUUAAUUACAGGUAUUUUUCCCAUGGCAGUUUGUCCGGAACUGCCCAUAAAAGGUGUUACAGUUUUGCUGGGAAAUGAUGUGGUUGGUGAAAAGAUUGUGCCACAUCUCGCGGUACUGCAGAAAAUCACCUUAGUGCCGCUGAAACGUCAGCGCAGAACCCCAGUGCGCCAUUACUCGCGCGCAGCCGCGAGAUGACUUGUCUGAUGGUUUGUCUAUGCCUCUUCUUUCAGGAACUAACCGUGUCACGACGUCGUGUGAACAUGACAGGUUUUCUUUCAGACAGGUGACAAUAGGAAAGGAUCAAAGGGAGCCGUCUGAUUUGGGGCACUCUAAGUCUGCGUAUGCACACAGCGACGUGCCGCACGGAGAGCUGAUCCACUUGUACGCACAGGUUAUUUCGGUAGAUGUUCAGGCCUGAAGCAUGAGUUCCGGCUCGGAACUCCCAACCUGCUCCUCCGGCACACGGUUUUGUUGGAGAGGAGAGCCAGUUAGGUGAUGACCUGUCUAGAUUGGAUUCAAGUUCUUCCUUUAAACUCCUGCAGAAGUCCAGCUCCUGCACAGACGCUGACUCCGCCCCCUCUGCAGUGCUGAUUGAGGCUGCUACCAAUCGCCUGGUUUUGAAGGAAGCUUUUAAAGCUCCCAGGAUCCUCUGCUCCAGUGGCAGAUGCAUUCCGGUGUGGGAAUUUGUAUCUUCAGCCUGCCCCUGCUGUCUGCCUGGCCUUAGCUCGAGAAAGCCUCUGGUUUCCCCCUUAGUUUGAUUUUGGUUUUGUCCUUUUGUUACAUUUACUCUUGUGGUCUUUUGUUUUCAUUUUGAGUUAUUUGGUGUCUUGCUGUAAAGCAUGAGCAUUUAAGUAUGCCAUUAAUUAUUCCCCCUUUGAUGCUUUGUUGGUUAUUUUUCUUUAGAUACCUUUCAUUUUUAUGUGUCACCAAAUAAACGGCUGUGUGGCCAACCUUAA